GGGGGCGUAGCUCAGUUGGUUAGAGCGCCUGCCUGUCACGCAGGAGGUCGACGGUUCGAGCCCGUUCGUCCCCGCCA
rnacentral:tRNA from 1 species